rfam:Schistosoma margrebowiei strain Zambia genome assembly, scaffold: SMRZ_scaffold0002810
GCACUGCUGAGGAGUCGGAUACUAGGACGAAACGGCCGUCCAGUGC